rnacentral:rRNA from 1 species
GUCGAACGAAACUUCUUUAUCACCGAGUGCUUGCACUCACCGAUAAACAGUUGAGUGGCGAACGGGUGAGUAACACGUGGGCAACCUGCCCAAAAGAGGGGGAUAACACUUGGAAACAGGUGCUAAUACCGCAUAACCAUAGUUACCGCAUGGUAACUAUGUAAAAGGUGGCUAUGCUACCGCUUUUGGAUGGGCCCGCGGCGCAUUAGCUAGUUGGUGGGGUAAAGGCUUACCAAGGCAAUGAUGCGUAGCCGAACUGAGAGGUUGAUCGGCCACAUUGGGACUGAGACACGGCCCAAACUCCUACGGGAGGCAGCAGUAGGGAAUCUUCCACAAUGGGCGAAAGCCUGAUGGAGCAACGCCGCGUGGGUGAAGAAGGUCUUCGGAUCGUAAAACCCUGUUGUUAGAGAAGAAAGUGCGUGAGAGUAACUGUUCACGUUUCGACGGUAUCUAACCAGAAAGCCACGGCUAACUACGUGCCAGCAGCCGCGGUAAUACGUAGGUGGCAAGCGUUAUCCGGAUUUAUUGGGCGUAAAGGGAACGCAGGCGGUCUUUUAAGUCUGAUGUGAAAGCCUUCGGCUUAACCGGAGUAGUGCAUUGGAAACUGGGAGACUUGAGUGCAGAAGAGGAGAGUGGAACUCCAUGUGUAGCGGUGAAAUGCGUAGAUAUAUGGAAGAACACCAGUGGCGAAAGCGGCUCUCUGGUCUGUAACUGACGCUGAGGUUCGAAAGCGUGGGUAGCAAACAGGAUUAGAUACCCUGGUAGUCCACGCCGUAAACGAUGAAUGCUAAGUGUUGGAGGGUUUCCGCCCUUCAGUGCUGCAGCUAACGCAAU